CCAUCUUUUUACAGGACAUGAGGAGACAACGCCACAGUAUAGUCAUCUGUUCUCCAGUAAGCAGAGCUGUCGCUCUGCCAAAGAAAGCAGAGUCCGGCCUAGCUGCAUGGGCUCCGGGUCAUCGCUAUGGGCACUAGGAGCUGAAGCCGGAGGUGGAGCCGGGUAUGAGGAUGGCAGACGUGGCGGACCUCUGGGGCUGUCAAACAGGGCUCACUCUCUCUUCUGCGGAACGUGGAUGUCUGACUUUGCAAAAUCAGCGACCGCGUGAUACAGCUAGCACCAUUACAGCCUGUGGCCAUGGCAGAAGAGCAAGUUCAACCGAUCACUAAUCCAGUCUUUUUUGACCGCACCAGGCGACCCUCCUCUGCAGUGGAAAAUAUGGAAAAGCACCUUACCUGCUAGCUGCAGGAUUAACCAAGGUCCCGAAGGAGCAACAGUUGGUGAUUCUUCUUCACUGUUUGGGGACAGAGGGACAACGCAUCUUUGCCAUGCUACCAGGUACUCUUGCUGCUGCUGAUGUGAUACUUCGCCCCGAUUGUUCCGCACACUGACAUUCAUCUGGAGAUUUGCGGGCAACAAUCCCCCCAGAAACCUGUCCGAGGUCUUCAUAUCCACCUCAGCAAUCUCACUAAGGUCACAGU